UGUGUGGCAGAUUAGUGCGCUAAGUUUAAGCCUUAGAAAUGUUAUAACCAGUCUA
rnacentral:tRNA from 1 species